AGAGAGAGACAUGCGCGCAUAUCAAUAAGCGGAGGAAAAGAAACUAACAAGGAUUCCCUUAGUAACGGCGAGUGAAGCGGGAAGAGCUCAAAUUUGAAAUCUUCAAGGUUUUACCUUGACGAAUUGUAGUUUAAAGAAGUGUUUUCUGCUGAAGUUUUGGUAAAAGUUCUUUGGAAUAGGACAUCAUAGAGGGUGAGAAUCCCGUAUUUGACCAUUAUUUUCAGCUUUGUGAUACACUUUCAAAGAGUCGGAUUGUUUGGGAAUGCAGUCCAAAAUGGGUGGUAAAUUUCAUCUAAAGCUAAAUAUUGGCGAGAGACCGAUAGCGAACAAGUACCGUGAGGGAAAGAUGAAAAGAACUUUGAAAAGAGAGUUAAACAGUACGUGAAAUUGUCAAAAGGGAAGCGUUUGACACCAGUGUUGUUUUCUCGAAAAUCAAUUAAAAAUGGCUCGAUUUUGUAUUGCUGAGACCUUAAAAGCUCACUGUAGCAUUUUUCGUGUCUUUUUUAAUGCACUUUUCGUUUAACAAGUCAACAUCAGUUUCUUUUGUUGUAAAAGGGUCAUUGGAAGGUGGCUUUCUUUUCGGAGAAAGUGUUUAUAGCCUUUGGCCUCUGCAAUCGGAGAGACUGAUGGUCUGCAGCGUAGACUCUUCGGGGUUAGAUACACUUGUGCUAAGUUAUAGCUUUUUAUAGACAACUUGUUGACUAUAAUUAGUCCUGUAGCUUACUCGCUUAUGCUAUUUUACCUACGCUUAGGAUGUUGAGUCGUAGAGCACGCAG
rnacentral:rRNA from 1 species